CACUGAUUAAUUUAAAUGGCCGCAGUAUUUUAACUGUGCAAAGGUAGCAUAAUAAUUAGUUUUUUAAUUGAAGGCUGGAAUGAAUGAUUGGACGAGGCAUAAUCUGUCUCAUUAAUAUAAGUAUAAUUUUAUUUUUUAGUCAAAAAGCUAAAAUGAUUUUAAAAGACGAGAAGACCCUAUAGAUCUUUAUAUUAUUAUUUUUAUUAUUAUUUGUAGAUAUAUUUUUAUAAUAUUUUUAAUAAUAUUUUGUUGGGGUGAUAUUGAAAUUUAAUUAACUUUCAAUUUUUAUUUUACAUUAAUUUAUGAAUUUUUGAUCCAGUAAUAUUGAUUAUAAAUUUAAGUUACCUUAGGGAUAACAGCGUAAUUAUUUUGGAGAGUUCUUAUCGAUAAAAUAGGUUGCGACCUCGAUGUUGGAUUAAGAUUAAUCUUAGGUGUAGUAAUUUAAGGUAUUAAGUCUGUUCGACUUUUAAUUUCUUACAUGAU
rnacentral:rRNA from 1 species